rnacentral:rRNA from 1 species
UUCCUCCCAGCAAUGGGCCGGGACACAGGUGCUGCAUGGCUGUCGUCAGCUCGUGUCUUGAGAUGUUGGGUUAAGUCCCGCAACGAGCGCAACCCUCGCCAUUAGUUGCCAUCAUUAAGUUGGGCACUCUAGUGGGACUGCCGGUGAUAAGCCGGAGAAAGGUGGGGAUGACGUCAAGUCAUCAUGGCCCUUAUGGGCUGGGCUACACACGUGCUACAAUGGCGGUGACAAUGGGCAGCCACUCAGCGAUGAGGAGCUAAUCCCUAAAAGCCGUCUCAGUUCGGAUUGAGCUCUGCAACUCGAGCUCAUGAAGUCGGAAUCGGUAGUAAUCGCGGAUCAGCAUGCCGCGGUGAUACGUUCCCGGGCCUUGCACACACCGCCCG